rnacentral:lncRNA from 1 species
AACCUGACACUGUUCAGCUUUUUUAUCUUUUACCAGUAUUUGAGGACUUAUUGGGGAUUCCUUUGAUAAUUUCAGGAAGAAAGAAGUGGAAUGGAAGGAGCCAGUAACUGUCCCAGGUCAGAAAACGCCUCUGAAAAGGAUCUACAUUACACCCAAAGUUCAUUGGAUUACUCCACCCUCAACAAUCAGGAGACAUUAAGUGGUACGAACCAAGCCAGUAACUGCCCCAAAUCAGAUGGUGCCUCUGAAGACAAUCAGCAUUGCACAGACAGUUCACAGCAUGACAGUAUCUUCCACAUUCAGGAGACAUUAAGUGGUACGAACCAAGCCAGUAACUGCCCCAAAUCAGAUGGUGCCUCUGAAGACAAUCAGCAUUGCACAGACAGUUCACAGCAUGACAGUAUCUUCCACAUUCAGGUAUGAAACUGCUCUUUUUGAUGUAUUUUAAUUACAAUAUACGUU